GAAUUGAAAGCUAAAUAUAGGCAGUGACCUUGUAAGUCAAAGAUAGAGAUACCUCUCAAUUCU
rnacentral:tRNA from 1 species